ACACCUCACCCCCUCGGGUUUCCGAUCGGGUGGAUUUGGGCGUCUGCCAGUCACAUGGCUCGCCUUAAAUGCAUUAGCGGUUGUUGACGUGAUAAGUUUCGUCUGACUGGCCGCUGAUAAUCUCCCUCUCUUUGGGAUGUCUGUCAAAGGACAACUUCAUG
rnacentral:misc_RNA from 1 species